GCAAUGACGUCUGCCCGUCUACCCAAUCACCAUCCAUCAUCCAUCCAUCCAACCAGUUCGAACCAGUUCAGUUUCAACGGUUGAAACUUCAAACUUUCCGGACGCGCAACGGGUAGCAGUUGGGGUCUUCGCGGCUGCAUUCCACUGGUUGUUAUACGAAAAUCUUUCGAAGUUCUAAUAUCCCGCGCGUUUUGUCUUGCAAUUUUUGAGCAUAGCGAGAACGUACGCCGUGCUGUCCAGUGAUAAAAGCUGUUGAGCGCAGCAGAGCUCGCAGAGUACUGUGGUGGACAACGUUUCUUUGUUCUCUGGCUUUCAAGUUUAAGGGGUGCUUGGACUAUCUUGCAUCGGUGGAUAUGAAAAUAGUGGUAACAUACCCUACGAAACAGCUAUUUGCACAUAAGCUUAACAGUUCCCUGUGAGAUGCUGUGAAAGUCAGCAGGGAAGUGCGAUGUAGAAGAAACGACUGCCAGAAGCUUGCUAAAGAACCGCACAACAUGUGUGAGCAGCAGACAAAAUAUUCAUCAAACGGUACAAAACUAGUAUUUUUGUGCUUUGUCGUUUUGAGACAUCCUUGGUAUUGUAUGGAGAACAGCGUGACUAUGUCAUUCCGUCUUACUUCACCCAAACAGCUAUCUGGUAGUAGUGCAAGAUUUGAGUUCCUAAAAGGUUUAUUCACUGAAGUCACCUCAGCGCCAUACUAUAGGUCCCUCAAUGUUUAGUCCUUGCAUUUGUUCUCUGCAUUAUGCUUUUUAGGUGACUAUUAACACCAAAAAAUAUGGAAAUUGCUUGGAUAUUCUACAAAUCACAGAGCAACAAGUUUUAAACACCAGAUAUGCGGUGAGUAUAAUAUGGGUAACAGCUUGACUGAAAUCUACAAUAGGGUCGAGAUCUACCAAGGCCGAUGGCAGCAAAUCUGCCUGCUAGCGACAGUGGCGGUCUCCUGCGGAUGACGUCAUGUGAAUAAACUUGUAUACUACUUGUACGUACUUAUAAUGUUUGACGUGGUGAUACAGGUUUUGCUUUGUAUUGUCUUUUAUAAUAUACACAGUGUUUAUUUUUAUCCUGUACAGAAUUUUUGCACCAAAGUUAUGAGAGCAGCACAGAUGUUGUUUUAGCGUAAUGCAGUGAUGGAAGUGCUGCGCCAAUCAUGGAGUGCUUAGCAGUCGCCUGCUCGACCAGUUAAGGUUGUGUCACGAGAAAACGCCUGUCACAUUGAUGUACUUUAACAGCGACAGCUGUUACAUCCUCAUUUCCCUGAGAUCCUGGCAGCGUCCGCUAGAGCCCUGCGCAGAUAAGAUUUUUAGCAUCUGCGUGCACAUUAUCCGAUCCGCACCGUUGCAUACGCAACCGUUUAGAUCCGCAAGUUUCGAAGGACGCGUAAACACAGCCGGAAGAAUGUUGGUAUAAUUUCGGAUGCCUCCAUGCUCUCAUGGAAGGACUCACGCCAAAAUGCCUUCUCUCCUGUCUUGGCCGUGCAUGGUCAAAGGUGAACCCAGGCAUGCGCUCGCUGUCGGUGCGCAAUACAAAUAAAUUGCUAGUAGAAAAAUUACAGCAUGCGGUAUAUCCGCAUCUGACCUCGAGCCAUCCGAUCCGCACACUGCAGAAAGUGAUAAAUUCUUGUCCGAAUCCGCAAGUAUCUUACGGAUAUCCGCUUCCAUCCGCAGAUGGUGCAGGGCUCUAGCGUCCACAUCAGGUAGUGACGCGCAAACAGAUUUUCAGCUGUUGCUGCAAUUUGUGUUGUGUAGCUGUAACAGUUCUGUGAUUUUUGUACGUGCAGCUUCUUUUCUUUGUGUCUCUCAGAUCAGUGUUGAUACAGCUUUUACUCUUAUGUGGCCAGACAAGCAUCCCGUGAAAGAGUGUGCAUAGCCACUAAACAAACUAGUUAGAACUAGCAGGCUACAUGAUGCUUUCUGACAUGUUUUGUUCUAUUUUCUAGCCACAGUGAGUCAUUGGAGGCAGUGCUGCAGCACCAACAAUCACUCGUUGGAAGAAAGGAAUGAGGUGGCCAUCAACACCCUGCUGCCAGUUCAACACUCCUCAGUCAAAACACAAGACGCCUGUUUGGCGGCAAAGUCAAUCCAGUUUUAGACAGAGUUUUGUACCGUAGACUUCGUGUGUGGUUUACUGCAAAUAAAUGUUUAUGCUGA